rnacentral:rRNA from 1 species
CGGAGGGUGCAAGCGUUAUCCGGAUUUAUUGGGUUUAAAGGGUCCGUAGGCGGAUCCGUAAGUCAGUGGUGAAAUCUCACAGCUUAACUGUGAAACUGCCAUUGAUACUGCGGGUCUUGAGUAAGGUAGAAGUGGCUGGAAUAAGUAGUGUAGCGGUGAAAUGCAUAGAUAUUACUUAGAACACCAAUUGCGAAGGCAGGUCACUAUGUCUUAACUGACGCUGAUGGACGAAAGCGUGGGGAGCGAACAGGAUUAGAUACCCUGGUAGUCCACGCCGUAAACGAUGCUAACUCGUUUUAGGGCUUUCGGGUUCAGAGACUAAGCGAAAGUGAUAAGUUAGCCACCUGGGGAGUACGUUCGCAAGAAUG